rnacentral:rRNA from 1 species
AGUGAACGCUGGCGGUAGGCCUAACACAUGCAAGUCGAACGGCAGCACAGGAGAGCUUGCUCUCUGGGUGGCGAGUGGCGGACGGGUGAGAAAUACAUCGGAAUCUACUCUGUCGUGGGGGAUAACGUAGGGAAACUUACGCUAAUACCGCAUACGACCUACGGGUGAAAGCAGGGGACCUUCGGGCCUUGCGCGGUUGAAUGAGCCGAUGUCGGAUUAGCUAGUUGGCGGGGUAAAGGCCCACCAAGGCGACGAUCCGUAGCUGGUCUGAGAGGAUGAUAAGCCACACUGGAACUGAGACACGGUCCAGACUCCUACGGGAGGCAGCAGUGGGGAAUAUUGGACAAUGGGCGCAAGCCUGAUCCAGCCAUACCGCGUGGGUGAAGAAGGCCUUCGGGUUGUAAAGCCCUUUUGUUGGGAAAGAAAUCCAGCUGGCUAAUACCCGGUUGGGAUGACGGUACCCAAAGAAUAAGCACCGGCUAACUUCGUGCCAGCCGCCGCCGUAA